UCCAGACUCCUACGGGAGGCAGCAGUGGGGGAUAUUGCACAAUGGGGGAAACCCUGAUGCAGCGACGCCGCGUGAGUGAAGAAGUAUUUCGGUAUGUAAAGCUCUCUCAGCAGGGAAGAAAAAAGACGGUACCUGACUAAGAAGCCCCGGCUAACUACGUGCCAGCAGCCGCGGUAAUACGUAGGGGGCAAGCGUUAUCCGGAUUUACUGGGUGUAAAGGGAGCGUAGACGGCAAUACAAGUCGGAAGUGAAAUACCCGGGCUCAACCUGGGAACUGCUUUGGAAACUGUAUGGCUGGAGUGCUGGAGAGGUAAGCGGAAUUCCUAGUGUAGCGGUGAAAUGCGUAGAUAUUAGGAGGAACACCAGUGGCGAAGGCGGCUUACUGGACAGUAACUGACGUUGAGGCUCGAAAGCGUGGGGAGCAAACAGGAUUAGAUACCCCAGUAU
rnacentral:rRNA from 1 species